AAGGGGCAACCUGAGUACAGCGGCGUACGGGUGAGUAACACGUGGGUGAUCUACCUCUUUGUGGGGAAUAACCCUGGGAAACCGGGGCUAAUACCGCAUAAGCCUGAGAAGGGAAAGCCGAAAGGCGCAGAGAGAGGAGCCCGCGGCCGAUUAGCUAGUUGGUGAGGUAACGGCUCACCAAGGCGACGAUCGGUAGCCGGCCUGAGAGGGCACACGGCCACACUGGCACUGAAACACGGGCCAGACUCCUACGGGAGGCAGCAGUGGGGAAUCUUGCACAAUGGAGGCAACUCUGAUGCAGCGACGCCGCGUGAGCGAUGAAGCCCUUCGGGGUGUAAAGCUCUUUCGGCAGGAACGAUAAUGACGGUACCUGAAGAAGAAGCUGCGGCUAACUACGUGCCAGCAGCCGCGGUAAUACGUAGGCAGCGAGCGUUGUUCGGAAUUACUGGGCGUAAAGAGUGUGUANGCGGUGCUCUAAGUUCGGUGUGAAAUCUCCC
rnacentral:rRNA from 1 species